rnacentral:rRNA from 1 species
CCUUAAUAAAUCUUAAAAGAUCUAUUUAAUAAAAACACUUAAACCAAUAAUUUCAUAAAUCACACUCACAAGUACUAUAAAGGAAAUAUUAACAUACUAAAGUAGUGCUUAACACACGUACCUUGUGCAUCAUGGUUUUACAAGUAAUAAAUUAAUAAUAAUCCCCGAAUUCUAAGCGAGCUGCCCCAUUAUAGCUAAGAGCCCACCACUAGUUGUAGCAUCAACUUUGGAAAAUAGUGGGGUAGUGGCUACAUACCAAACGCGCUAGAAAAUCUCUGGUUUUCAGUAAAAUUUACAAAUAAAACAUGUAGUCCUACUACAUUGCAAAAUUAUAGAGGAUAAGCCCUAUAAUUAAAACCAGAUAUCAAAUAUUUCUUAAAUAGGCCUAAAACCAGCCACUAAUAAUACCUUACCGUAACACCUUAUUAAUCAUUUACCAAAUCUGUUAAGAAAAACUGAAAUUUUUUGAUAAAUUAACAAUCUAAAAAUAUUAUGUAAAAAUAAGUAUUAACCUAAUAACCUAUAUUAAAACUACCUUUCAAAUUUAUUAUACUA